rnacentral:rRNA from 1 species
GAUGAACGCUGGCGGCGUGCCUAAUACAUGCAAGUCGAGCGAACAGAUGAGGAGCUUGCUCCUCUGACGUUAGCGGCGGACGGGUGAGUAACACGUGGAUAACCUACCUAUAAGACUGGGAUAACUUCGGGAAACCGGAGCUAAUACCGGAUAAUAUAUUGAACCGCAUGGUUCAAUGGUGAAAGACGGUUUUGCUGUCACUUAUAGAUGGAUCCGCGCCGCAUUAGCUAGUUGGUAAGGUAACGGCUUACCAAGGCAACGAUGCGUAGCCGACCUGAGAGGGUGAUCGGCCACCCUGGAACUGAGACACGGUCCAGACUCCUACGGGAGGCAGCAGUAGGGAAUCUUCCGCAAUGGGCGAAAGCCUGACGGAGCAACGCCGCGUGAGUGAUGAAGGUCUUCGGAUCGUAAAACUCUGUUAUUAGGGAAGAACAAAUGUGUAAGUAACUAUGCACGUCUUGACGGUACCUAAUCAGAAAGCCACGGCUAACUACGUG